rfam:Oryza glaberrima chromosome 8 Oglab08_0053_1, whole genome shotgun sequence.
UUGGGUUUGUCCUAAGUCAAAUCUCGUCAAGUUUGACCAAGUUAGACAAAUAUAGCAGUAUUUUCAACACAAAAUAAAUAUACUAUAAAAAUAUAUCCAAUGAUGGAUUUAAUGAAACUAAUUUGAUGUCGUAAAUGUUGGUAUGUUUUUCUACAAACUUGGUUAAACUUUAAAAGGUUUGACUUAGACAAAUCUAAA